GACGAACGCUGGCGGCGUGCUUAACACAUGCAAGUCGAACGAUGACGACCGAGCUUGCUCGGUCUGAUUAGUGGCGAACGGGUGAGUAACACGUGAGCAACCUGCCCUUCACUCUGGGAUAACCUCGGGAAAUCGGGGCUAAUACCGGAUAUGAGCUCCUGUCGCAUGGCGGGUGUUGGAAAGUUUUUCGGUGAAGGAUGGGCUCGCGGCCUAUCAGUUUGUUGGUAAGGUAGUGGCUCACCAAGGCGAUGACGGGUAGCCGGCCUGAGAGGGCGACCGGCCACACUGGGACUGAGACACGGCCCAGACUCCUACGGGAGGCAGCAGUGGGGAAUAUUGCACAAUGGGCGAAAGCCUGAUGCAGCGACGCCGCGUGAGGGAUGACGGCCUUCGGGUUGUAAACCUCUUUCAGCAGGGAAGAAGCGAAAGUGACGGUACCUGCAGAAGAAGCGCCGGCUAACUACGUG
rnacentral:rRNA from 1 species